ACGGGACCAGUUUUGGUGUUCCAAAACUACUUCGGAGUAGUUCUUGGAACCAACCAAGUAAAUGAUAACUACAUAACUAGUGACAGUGAGAGUUACAGAUAAGGUUUAUUCACAAUGAGAAUAAUUUAUAAUCAUUCCUAUACUCUAUACAAAUUAAUCAAGUUGAAAUAAGAGGAUUAGGCACAGCAACAAGGUGAUGGUUCCGAAGAAAAUGAAUAACAAUACAACAUUACCGAGUCAUACAAGGAUUGACAAGCUUCAGAUCUUUUAUAUUAUAUCAUAUUACUGACUACACUUGAUGGAAGGACACAAUAUUAGGUUAUAUACAUUCUUUUGAAUCCCUUCAAAAUAUUUAUCAGCUAGUGAAUCAUCAAGAAGUGGGAGUUAUAUUUCCAAGUGCCUGAUAUCAGAUAUAAUUGUAUCCUUAUUGGAAUAAAUAAAAAUUACAAUUAGAUGUA